rnacentral:lncRNA from 1 species
GUGAGACCCUCCCUUCUCUCCCCCUUACGUGUUGCUGCCGAUGGUUUUCAGGUUGAAAAGAGUGUGUUCUGUGUCUCCAGGGUCUUUUUUGUGGCUUUUAUGUGUGUGAUUUAGGUUAGAAGAGAUGAUGAACACAACACGUCUUUAUACCUCCUAACAAAUUUAUAGUUAAUGUCAUAUAGGCCUGUUUAGAAAACAGACAUUUUAAGUUUGAUAUUUUCCUAUAAGUUAUUAAACUUGAUUUUCAGACAAGCACAAAGUGUUGAGGAUCAAUCAGUCAGUAGCCUUGCAAAUGAGGUGUGCUCGAAUUGUUACAGAGAGCAUUGCUAGGUGAGCUUCUUAGGCAACACAGCGAGCGAGCGAGCUGGAGGUGGAGCCUCAGCUGGAACCAAAUGUAUUGACAUCUAGUCUUUUUCCCCCAUUACUCGUUUAUUCACUUUACAUCCAAUUGCAGCCCCCUUCCUCCCAGUCCCCACCUCACACAGGCCAUCCCCAUUUCUCCUCCCCUCUCCUGAUAAGGGGAAGCUUCCCCCACACACACCAUAGCAACCCACUCUGGCACAUCAAGUCACUGCAGCACCCGGUGUAUCCUCUUCGAUUGAGGCUAGACAAGGCAGCCCAAUUAGGGGAACAAGACCCACAGGCAGAAAACAGACUCAGGGGCAGUGCCACGCCCCCUCAAUUGUUGGGAGACCCACAUGAAGACCAAGCUGCACAUAUGUGCAGGGGGUGGGGGAGGCCUAUGUUCAGCCUGUGUGUGUUCUUUGCUUGGCAGUUCAGUCUCUGGGAGCCCCGUACAGUCCGUUACUUGACUCUGUGCCCCAGUGUAGGGGAUGCUAGGGCAGGAAGACUGGAGGGGGUGGGGGGGGGGUAGGAUAGGGGGUUUCAGAAAAGGAGACCUGAAAAGGGGAAAGCAUUAUGU